rnacentral:pre_miRNA from 1 species
CCAACGAGGAGGCCGGGACCGCCGGAUCCGGUGACUUCGGCCUCCUCGCCGGC